rnacentral:lncRNA from 1 species
ACCCUGCUUUAUACAUGGGUAAACCACUUUAAGAUCUUUUCUGGGGUGAUAUGAGUCAGACUUAAUAGUGGAACUUUGUAAGCUGUCCAAGGGUUUCGGGGAGAAGGGAAAUCAGAACAGUGGGCAGAGGUUCGAGCUCUCAACCUCUUGGUGUCUCCUUCUGUUCCAUGUUGCAGGAGAAAAAAAAAAUCUCAGCUAGGUGUUUGUUUAUUGUAACCACAAGUAUGUGUCGGGGGUGUGUGGUAAGCAGUAUGGCAAUCAGGUGCAGGUUUUCAUACGGACACAUGUUCCACGGGUGCUCUGUGCAGUGUGUGCCUUCUGUCAUAAUGUCAAAAAAAAUAUGAAAUCGUGAAUGUACGAUCCCAUUUUGAAACACGUCGGGUUUCUUUCCUGACCCCGGGCUCUUCGAUCUCUUGCAGGCUCUGUCUUCAAUCAACACGUGUGACCCGUGACUUUUCACAUGUGGCUGCUGUUUCCUCCUGUCGUCCAUCAUCAUGCCAACCUUAAAAAGGGGAGCAGCACCGCAGCAUCAUGACCGUGGAGGAGACGAACCGCGAACGGGCAUCCACCUGCUUUUCCACGACCGAAGAGUGCGGACGCCCAACGGCAGCACCGCGCAUCAGCUGCGUGCGGAGGACGGGAAGGACGAGGAGGACGAAGAGGAUGCCGAGGAACACCGGAGGAUCGGGGGCCCAUCGGGGACAGGAAAGGGGCCCUCAGCAGGGGCCAAAUCCAACGUCUUCAGGCGGGAGCACAGCAGCUGAGAAGAAGUGAAUGGAAGCGCCAAUGUGGUGUCCUCCACUUGAAGAUGGACCUUCCACCAGUAGGACGCAAGAUGCGCUCAAUGAUGCAAUUCCACUUUCUGCCUUGGCUCCUGUACGGAAGCUUCCAGAACCCAUCAGCUCUUCUCAGGCGGGAGCGGAGACCCCAGUCCGAGGCUCGCUGCCAGGUCGUCGUGUGACAGCGCUGAGCCGCCGGCGCUCGUCCAGCAGGAUGCGGACUAAGAAGGAGACUGGCGGAGGAGCCGUGGCGGUUGGGCCUGCAGGCAAUGUUGGAGCAGGUGAGCCUCACGCCUCCACCACCGCAGGGGUCUCCUCCCUCGCUCACCUCUCCCCUCCCCUCCGUCUCCGUCUCCACGGGCGCGACGCGCGCGCGCUCGGAACCCCGUCCUGUUUGAAGUCUUGCUUUCGCUUGUGCGAAAAAGCUUCCCGGAGACACAGACCUAAAUAAAAAAAACGACAUGCCUCAGU